CCUUACCUUUUGUUGCUUUGGCGGGCCGCCUAGCUACUGGCUUCGGCUGGUAAGUGCCCGCCAGAGAACCCCAAACCCAAACCAUUUAUAGUGUCGUCUGAGAAACAAGUUUAAUAUUUAAAACUUUCAACAACGGAUCUCUUGGCUCUGGCAUCGAUGAAGAACGCAGCGAAAUGCGAUAAGUAAUGUGAAUUGCAGAAUUCAGUGAAUCAUCGAAUCUUUGAACGCACAUUGCGCCCCUUGGUAUUCCGAGGGGCAUGCCUAUUCGAGCGUCAUUAUCACCCCUCAAGCUCCGGCUUGGUGUUGAGGCCUGCCGUCAAGGCACCCUCUAAAAUCAGUGGCAGUGCCGUCAGGCUCUAAGCGUAGUAAUUUCAUCGCUAUAGACCCGGGCGGACCCUCGCCAGAACCCCCCAUUUUUUUAAUGAUUGACCUCGGAUUAGGUAGGGAUACCCGCUGAACUUAAGCAUAUC
rnacentral:rRNA from 1 species